rnacentral:rRNA from 1 species
UACGUAGGGACCAAGCGUUGUUCGGAUUUACUGGGCGUAAAGGGCGCGUAGGCGGCGUGUUAAGUCAGCUGUGAAAUCUCCAAGCUUAACUUGGAACGGUCAGCUGAUACUGAUGUGCUAGAGUGCAGAAAGGGCAAUCGGAAUUCUUGGUGUAGCGGUGAAAUGCGUAGAUAUCAGGAGGAACACCGGUGGCGAAGGCGGGUCUCUGGGCCGAUACUGACGCUGAGGAGCGAAAGCGUGGGGAGCGAACAGG